rnacentral:rRNA from 1 species
UACGUAGGUUGCAAGCGUUGGCCGGAUUUACUGGGCGUAAAGGAUUCGUAGGCGGAUGUUUAAGUGAGAUGUGAAAUACCCGAGCUCAACUUGGGUGCUGCAUUUCAAACUGGAUAUCUAGAGUGCAGGAGAGGAAAGCGGAAUUCCUAGUGUAGCGGUGAAAUGCGUAGAGAUUAGGAAGAACACCAGUGGCGAAGGCGGCUUUCUGGACUGUAACUGACGCUGAGGCAUGAAAGCGUGGGGAGCAAACAGG